GUCGACGAUGAUGCUCCAGCUUGCUGGGGUGGAUUAGUGGCGAACGGGUGAGUAACACGUGAGUAACCUGCCCUUCACUUUGGGAUAAGCCUUGGAAACGGGGUCUAAUACCGGGUAUACACAUUCUGCCGCAUGGUGGUGUGUGGAAAGCUUUUGUGGUGAGGGAUGGACUCGCGGCCUAUCAGCUUGAUGGUGGGGUAGUGGCCUACCAUGGCUUUGACGGGUAGCCGGCCUGAGAGGGUGACCGGCCACACUGGGACUGAGACACGGCCCAGACUCCUACGGGAGGCAGCAGUGGGGAAUAUUGCACAAUGGGCGGAAGCCUGAUGCAGCGACGCCGCGUGGGGGAUGAAGGCUUUCGGGUCGUAAACUCCUUUCAGCAGGGACGAAGCUUUUUGUGACGGUACCUGCAGAAGAAGCACCGGCUAACUACGUGCCAGCAGCCGCGGUAAUACGUAGGGUGCGAGCGUUGUCCGGAAUUAUUGGGCGUAAAGAGCUUGUAGGCGGUUUGUCGCGUCUGCCGUGAAAGCCCAGGGCUUAACCCUGGGUCUGCGGUGGGUACGGGCAGACUAGAGUGUGGUAGGGGAGACUGGAAUUCCUGGGGUAGCGGUGAAAUGCGCAGAUAUCAGGAGGAAC
rnacentral:rRNA from 1 species